rnacentral:misc_RNA from 1 species
UAAAUGUUAAAGAUGUUGCCAAUGCACAUGUACAAGCAUUUGAGAUUCCGUCAGCAAGUGGACGAUAUUGUUUGGCUGAGAGAGUUGCACACUACUCAGAAUUAGUCAACGUCUUGCGAGAGCUUUACCCUGAUUUCCAACUUCCAGAAAAGUGUGCAGACGAUAAGCCUUACGUGCCAACGUAUCAGCUGUCCAAGGAAAAAGCAAAGAGCCUGGGUAUUGAUUUCAUUCCCUUGAAUGUGAGCUUGAAGGAAACAGUUGAAAGCU